AAUACUUUUGCACAUGGCUUUGAAAAUGACAAUGUCAAAAAUUUUUUUUAAAGUAUUAAAUCACUUUGUUUAAUAAUUAAUAAUUAUUCUUUACAGUUUUUUUCUGAGGGAAAAGGGGUCGAAUAUUAAAGAUGCAAGUUAGCAUCGUUAAUCAUUAAAUUGAUUCAAUUUAAUAAAUGUGAUAUUCAACUGUUCAGAUUCAACUUAGAACUGAAGACAGAUAUCCAUUGGCCAUCAGAAGAGCCUGAGAUGUUGCAGCAGAUUCCCUACAAUUACGCAAUGAAGAAAGCGCAGCUGAUGAGAGAACGCGAUGCGGCUAAUUGCAGGGGAAGUAAGGAUUAACCGGCUUAAUCAAGAAUUAAAUGAAUUGUAAAAGCGCGCAUCGGAAUUGGAUAAAAUGCAUAUAGCAACAAUUUCGAAUAUGUUGUACAUAAAUGAUCACAACAGAAAGAAAAAUGUGGAGGAAGCUGAAAAAGCUAUAAUGGAAGAGUUGAAGGCGGGUGACACUUUUUUGGACACAGCACGAUUGGACACCAACCAAUCAUCUUGACUUAUCUAACCAAAUCAACGGAAAAACUCUAGAUAUCGGCCGCUGUGAGUGGUGGUGUCCAAUCGUGCGGUGUCCAAUCGUGUGCACCCCGUUGAAGGCUAACUAGGGAAAGAAGGUCGAUAACCUGUUCACCAGGCAAAGUACUAAACCGAGGAUAUACAAGCUGGAAGAUGACUCCGAAGUAGUAGCAACAGUUUCAGUAAAUAAUAAAUUGAAUCAUCCUGUUGGAGAUUCUGUGCUGCUGAUAAGGAAAAUGAACAGGAAUGUAAUAAGAAGCACAGCACAGAAGACUUAUUCAACGCGCAUGAUUUUAAUAUAACACUCGAUUUGGAAGUUUCUAUUCUAAGCAAUCCUGUUAGCGUUUUACCGAAGCCCAUUAAUAACAUCAAGGAUACAGGACCCUGUCGAUCUCGUUAAAUUUCGAAGAUAACAAAAAGAAAUGCGGUCUUAUCUAACAGUUCGUACGUCUUAAUUAUCGUAAUAUUAAGGCUCGACGAGGUUGUCUUAAACUAAUGUAAGACAUCAUGUUUGAUCCUACGCGUUACGCUAACGCCAUCUAAGCUCGCGGCCAUCAUUGCGAUCUACCGGCAGGACGCCGAUCUACAUUUCAUAUACGUGUGGGGAAAUCUGGAGCGAAAGCGCGCGCUUCCAUAACGCACUUCUUCUCGGGUCAUCGACGCAAUCGCAACUCACGUGUGUCAAAUAAAGGUUAUCAUCAGAA
rnacentral:lncRNA from 13 species